rnacentral:rRNA from 1 species
GUGCUUAAUACAUGCAAGUCGAGCGAAUGGAUUAAGAAGCUUGCUCUUAUGAAGUUAGCGGCGGACGGGUGAGUAACACGUGGGUAACCUGCCCAUAAGACUGGGAUAACUCCGGGAAACCGGGGCUAAUACCGGAUAACAUUUUGAACCGCAUGGUUCGAAAUUGAAAGGCGGCUUCGGCUGUCACUUAUGGAUGGACCCGCGUCGCAUUAGCUAGUUGGUGAGGUAACGGCUCACCAAGGCAACGAUGCGUAGCCGACCUGAGAGGGUGAUCGGCCACACUGGGACUGAGACACGGCCCAGACUCCUACGGGAGGCAGCAGUAGGGAAUCUUCCGCAAUGGACGAAAGUCUGACGGAGCAACGCCGCGUGAGUGAUGAAGGCUUUCGGGUCGUAAAACUCUGUUGUUAGGGAAGAACAAGUGCUAGUUGAAUAAGCUGGCACCUUGACGGUACCUAACCAGAAAGCCACGGCUAACUACGUGCCAGCAGCCGCGGUAAUACGUAGGUGGCAAGCGUUAUCCGGAAUUAUUGGGCGUAAAGCGCGCGCAGGUGGUUUCUUAAGUCUGAUGUGAAAGCCCACGGCUCAACCGUGGAGGGUCAUUGGAAACUGGGAGACUUGAGUGCAGAAGAGGAAAGUGGAAUUCCAUGUGUAGCGGUGAAAUGCGUAGAGAUAUGGAGGAACACCAGUGGCGAAGGCGACUUUCUGGUCUGUAACUGACACUGAGGCGCGAAAGCG